GAGUUUGAUCAUGGCUCAGGACGAACGCUGGCGGCGUGCCUAAUACAUGCAAGUAGACGCUGAAGAGAGGAGCUUGCUCUUCUUGGAUGAAUCGCGAACGGGUGAGUAACGCGUAGGUAACCUGCCUUGUAGCGGGGGAUAACUAUUGGAAACGAUAGCUAAUACCGCAUAACAAUGAUGACACAUGUCAUUUAUUUGAAAGGGGCAAUUGCUCCACUACAAGAUGGACCUGCGUUGUAUUAGCUAGUAGGUGAGGUAAUGGCUCACCUAGGCGACGAUACAUAGCCGACCUGAGAGGGUGAUCGGCCACACUGGGACUGAGACACGGCCCAGACUCCUACGGGAGGCAGCAGUAGGGAAUCUUCGGCAAUGGGGGCAACCCUGACCGAGCAACGCCGCGUGAGUGAAGAAGGUUUUCGGAUCGUAAAGCUCUGUUGUAAGUCAAGAACGGGUGUGAGAGUGGAAAGUUCACACUGUGACGGUAGCUUACCAGAAAGGGACGGCUAACUACGUGCCAGCAGCCGCGGUAAUACGUAGGUCCCGAGCGUUGUCCGGAUUUAUUGGGCGUAAAGCGAGCGCAGGCGGUUUGAUAAGUCUGAAGUUAAAGGCUGUGGCUCAACCAUAGUUCGCUUUGGAAACUGUCAAACUUGAGUGCAGAAGGGGAGAGUGGAAUUCCAUGUGUAGCGGUGAAAUGCGUAGAUAUAUGGAGGAACACCGGUGGCGAAAGCGGCUCUCUGGUCUGUAACUGACGCUGAGGCUCGAAAGCGUGGGGAGCAACAGGAUUAGAUACCCUGGUAGUCCACGCCGUAAACGAUGAGUGCUAGGUGUUGGAUCUUUCCGGGAUUCAGUGCCGAAGCUAACGCAUUAAGCACUCCGCCUGGGGAGUACGACCGAAGGUU
rnacentral:rRNA from 1 species